UUGAAACGCUGCACACACAGUAUGGCACACCAUUUCAGGUGAACAAAAGUGCAACACAACACAGUAGUGUGUCCAUUAAAGCCCCAUGAUAUAUGACAACAGAUCUUUCUCACCAUAGAUUUCAGCUCUUUUCAUUCACAUAUUCAUACGUUAUUGAGAUACUCAAUUAGAUAUGAAAAUGUAACUGGUUUUAUAGUGUUACUCUUUUUGAUUCAGCCGUUUCCUUUGAUUCACUGUUUCUGUCAGUGCAGUGUGGUUAUUAUGGACAAUUUGGACCUGAUACACGAGAUUUAUCAUUUAAUCAUAUAGUAUUAUUUAUUUUAGUAUAUCCAGUUGUCAUUUCUGCUGAAUUUCUGGUGAAAUUGAGGCAGUUCCGUCAGGUUCAUAAAUACUGAACAUGCAUGUUCUUCCUGGCGAUCACAGCACCACUGUUUUCUGUAUUCUCCCAGAGGAUCAGGCUUAUGUAAUCUACUCUCUCUCUACCUCUGUCUUACUCCCUCCCUCCCUUUCUCUCACUCUCUCUCUGUCUUACUCUACAUCCCUCUCUCACCCUCUCCAUUUCUCAACAUCCAACGAACUUGAACUCAGAGAGGAAGCGAGCAGCCCACUUCCUAUCGUCAUGGUAACAGCAUAUAAAUGUGCUGGGCUAGAGCAAGGGGCUAUGUGAGUGAGGGACAGUGAGAGAGAGAGUGCAGUGCAGAGCAGAGCAUGUUUGUGUAUGUGUGUGUGUGAGUGUGUGAAUGCGUCUGUGAGGGAACUGCAUCAGAAGGCACAUUUUGAGUCUCCGUGGCCAGCAGCAAGGUGCCCUUCAAGUGAGAGCCUCCUGAAGAUCACACACUCAGAGAUGGAACAGACAGAGAACCGCUGCCACUAAGAGGCUCGUCUGUCAGGGACUGUCUUUGUGUGUCCCCCCCCCCCCAUCCCUCAGCUUUUCUGAGCCUGUCCAUGGACCACACUGGCCUGUUGUGUGCGACCCAGUCCUGGAAUGGACCAAAAGGUUCUACUUUCUCCCCCAACUGGAAAGACUCCUUGACCUUCUUGACGCCCGACGUCAUCAGGCCUCCAUCAGCCAACCAAAACAUGGCGGGUCACCACCCUCCCCAUGGAGUGUUGGUGUCUGCCUCGGGGCCCAAAGUGGUGCCCAUGGAUCAAAACCGAGUUACCAGCACUGGGAUCGAGCGGAGCUACGCCACAGUGCAGAAGGAUCGGAGGGGGCGACCAGUUAGCGCCAUCGACCCCCACAGGCGUUCCCAGUCGCUGUGUGCGGUGGCAGCUGGCACCAUUGACCCAGGCACUUUGAGGCGCCGGUGCGAGAGCUACGCCAUGGCCUACCCCAGCAGCAGCUCAGACGACAGUGGGAGCGACAGCGCCUCCACUAGGAAAGGAGACCUGCUGCUGCCAGAUGCCGUCCCACGGCCCAGGGCCCGCAGCAUCAUCCUGAGGAAGCCUAAGACGAGGCCGCCACCACCAAUGCGCACCGUCUCCUUGGGGAAGCACGGCGACCGCCGCUGUCAGAGCCUCUACAUCCCCCGGGACCUGCACAGCACCCUACUGCCAGACCUCAUCCCCGUCUCCAAGCUGGAGGAUGGGGAGGAGAGUCCCCUCCCUGUGAACAGCGGCACCACGAAGCUGAAGCCCUCUGCGUCGUCAACUCACUCAAGGCCUCUUAACGAGUUGAGGUCCAGUGAGCCAUGCAAGUCCCAGCCGGGCUCUGUUCCGGUGCCAGGUGCUGCCAGUAGCGAGGUGGCCAAAACCCUGAGCAGCUCAGACUCCCUGAACUCCCCUUCCUCCUCUUCCCGAUCCUCCCCUUCUCAACCACCUGUCACGUCCCCCUCCAAGCCUCUUGGGUCCACGUCCCCUUCCAGCGGGUACUCUAGCCAGUGCGAGACCCCCACCAGCUCGGUGCGAACGACGGCCAUUUUUGGGCCGUCCCCGAUGGGGUGCCGGAUGCGACCCAAGCCCGCGGGCCAAAGCUCCAGGGGCAGCAGAGUGAGGCUGUCCCUACAGCUGCCUGAGACGGCGCCGCCUGCUCCGGAUGAGUCCACCGACCCGGCCAAGCCUGGUCGGCGCUACUCGGAUUCCUCGGCCACGGUCAAGUCCAAGCAGAGGUGCCUGAGUAUGCUCCUGCCCGUGGUGACCCAGGAGGACCUCCUGAACGUGCGUCUACGCUCCGUCUCCAGCUCCGACAACGAAGGGGGGCGCUACGAGGGCUUUGCAGAGGCCAUUGCAGAGGAGGCGGAGAGAGACACCCCCACCCCUUCCAUUGAGAGCCCCAAGAACAAGCCGCCGGUUGCGCCGAAACCUGCUACAUCUACGUGGCAGCCAGUCGUGACUGGUCAAAAGGACCAGCCGGAGACUCAGGAGCCCCAUCACAAUGGCCCCGAGAGACGACGCGCUCCGAUCCCCAAACCCAAGAGGUCUUCCCUCUUAUUGUCAGGAAGUGGUGGGGAGCACCAUGCCACGCAUGGCCUUGGCAGAUCACUCUCUGCUGGUGUUUCCGAAACCCAGAAACACCAAAACACAGACUUUUACUUGUGUGAAAGAAAUGAUAAAAGAAGAAUAGGGCCACCCCCUGUUGCCAAGAAGCCUGAGGUACUCAUACUGCCAAACGGCCAUGGUGUGUGUAAUAAGGAUGGAAUGACUGGCCAUAUCCCAACCAAUGCCUCUCAAGACCUGCAAUUAGUUAAUGGUGGCAACACAGAAAUGCAAAAUGAUAUGCCUCCAAGACACACCCAUGGCAAAUACAAUACUAUGGGGAGAAACCCAUCAAGUAACAAAUAUCAGUGCGGAUAUCUAGACCCAAGCAUGAUGCAGGGUUAUGGAGAGGUACAAGAUGAAGUGUUUGCCAGUAAGACAACAUCUCGCACAACUGAGGACCUGUUCACCAUCAUCCACAGAUGUUUACAUUGCAAAGUCAGUCCAUAAAACAUUGCAGUCAUGCUUAAAAAAAGCUGUCAUAGCAGACCAAGCUAACUCCCAGUCACAAUCCUUUUACACUUGAAGAUCAAAGAGGAAGCUCCUGGGACGCAAGGACUCCUUCGAGGGCCGUCCAUGUGACCUGGGCAUGCAGACGCUAGGGGGCGCGCCACGCCCCAACACCCAGAACGACAGCUUCAUGGCCCUGCUGCGGAGGACCAGGAGCGCCAAGGCUGCCCCCGGGGGACGCAUCUCCGCCGCAGAGCUCCUGAAGAGCUCCAAGCCCACCGCCGCUACUGGCCAGGCCUCUGACGCCACACGCCCAUGAGGGGAUCACGCACUUAUCAAACUUAUUAGCCCGACUUUACAUUAAGUGUGCCUAUCAGAGUGAGCUUACAUGAGUAAAGAACAGCACUAUGCACUUUUCCUGUAAGUAAAUAUAAUUACAUGUGGCUAAUCCCAACCCCAAUCUCAACCCCCAUCUCAAACCCCUAACCCAUUGUUCAACCUGUAAUUGUAUGUAUUUAUAUGGAAAGCACAUAGAACCUAAAAGGUAAUUGAAUAAUAUGUACAUAGAACCUAAGGACACUUAAUAUAAAGUGGGGCCAAUUUUUUAUUUUUUUUUGGCUUGUUUGUUUUGUCUGGUAAUUUUUAAUUGUGUUUCAACUAUGUGAAUUAACAACAAAGAUACAUGUCAUGAUGUUGCACAUUUCCAAGUGUAUGAACAAUGCCAUGAAACAUAACAGAACACAACUUCAAGGCCAUUACGAUGCCAUAGUAACAACAGUUUAGUGUUUUUGUUGUUGUGCUUACUGUUGUUGUGUGCCUUGCCUCAGAGUUGCUCACUUGUAUUUGCCAAGGACUUUUGCUUCUGAGUGAAAUGCCUGUAUAUAGCUUCUAUCUGCUACUGCACUGUGGUUUAGUAAAUUGAUUCACCACGGGGAAAUGUCGUAGCACUUUACAUUAAUCUUCCAUUAAAGAUACAGUCCAAGAUUCUGGUGAAAGGUUGUUGAUAUACGAGCUCAACAGCCAAUCCGUACUCCUGAAGCAAUGUGUUUAUUGGCUGGAUUAGUUCAGAGCACCAGGAUUGUUUAUGAUCACCAGGUUUUUUUUGUUUUCUUUUUGAACGGCUACACAGAAGGAGCAGCUAAGCUAAUGUGGAGAAAUUAGCUGAAUUUGACAAAAGUGUAGUGGAUUAGCAUUGCGGAUAUCGCCUUUAACUAACAUUAAUUCAGUGCAGUAGUGGGAAUUGAUAACGCAUUAACAACAAUAUCUAAGAUCACCCAGUGUUUGUUACUGCUGAUGGUCAUGGUCUGUUUAUGCCAGCUAAGGAGCUGAACAAUCUAAAUCAUUUCAUAAUUUCAGUGUUUCAGAAAUUAAGACUUUGAAUGUGAUGUGUAAUGUAUUGCCUGAACAAAUCAUGAAUUUAAGCUUUUGACAUUACGUAUGAUCGACUAAUUCUAAUGCUCACGGUUUAUUUAAUGUCCAAUUCUGCAUUAACUAAUGUAUGUUAACGGAAUGUUAAUGUAUAGGGUUACCUGCUAUGUUUUUCCCCAACCACUAAUAUGUCCACACCCACUCAAAUAAAGGUGGUAGAGAAGGGCA
ensembl:lncRNA